rnacentral:rRNA from 1 species
UUUAAACUUGAGAGUUUGAUCAUGGCUCAGAACGUACGCUGGCGGCACGCCUAACACAUGCAAGUCGAACGAAGUAGCAAUACUUAGUGGCAGACGGGUGAGUAACAUGUAGGUAUCUACCCUUUGGCCUGGAAUAACACGAGGAAACUUGUGCUAAUACCGGAUAAGUCUUUACGGAGAAAGCUUUAUGCACCAUUGGAUGAGCCUGCACUUGAUUAGUUUGUUGGUGGGGUAAUGGCCUACCAAGACUGUGAUCAAUAGCUGAUUUGAGAGGAUGAUCAGCCACAUUGGGACUGAGACACGGCCCAAACUCCUACGGGAGGCAGCAGUGGGGAAUCUUGCACAAUGGAGGAAACUCUGAUGCAGCGAUGCCGCGUGAGUGAAGAAGGCCUUUGGGUUGUAAAGCUCUUUCGUCGGGGAAGAAAAUGACUGUACCCGAAUAAGAAGGUCCGGCUAACUUCGUGCCAGCAGCCGCGGUAAUACGAAGGGACCUAGCGUAGUUCGGAAUUACUGGGCUUAAAGAGUUCGUAGGUGGUUGAAAAAGUUGGUGGUGAAAUCCCAGAGCUUAACUCUGGAACUGCCAUCAAAACUUUUCAGCUAGAGUAUGAUAGAGGAAAGCAGAAUUUCUAGUGUAGAGGUGAAAUUCGUAGAUAUUAGAAAGAAUACCAAUUGCGAAGGCAGCUUUCUGGAUCAUUACUGACACUGAGGAACGAAAGCAUGGGUAGCGAAGAGGAUUAGAUACCCUCGUAGUCCAUGCCGUAAACGAUGUGUGUUAGACGUUGGAAAUUUAUUUUCAGUGUCGCAGCGAAAGCGAUAAACACACCGCCUGGGGAGUACGACCGCAAGGUUAAAACUCAAAUGAAUUGACGGGGACCCGCACAAGUAGUGGAGCAUGUGGUUUAAUUCGAAGAUACGCGCAGAACCUUACCAACACUUGACAUGUUCGUCGCGACUCUAAGAGAUUAGAGUUUUCGGUUCGGCCGGACGAAACACAGGUGCUGCAUGGCUGUCGUCAGCUCGUGUCGUGAGAUGUUGGGUUAAGUCCCGCAACGAGCGCAACCCUCACUUUUAGUUGCCAUCAUUAAGUUGGGCACUCUGAAAGAACUGCCAGUGAUAAGCUGGAGGAAGGUGGGGAUGACGUCAAGUCCUCAUGGCCCUUACGUGUUGGGCUACACACGUGCUACAAUGGUAUCUACAACAGGAAGCAAAACUGCGAAGUUAAGCAAAUCCCUAAAAGAUACCUCAGUUCGGAUUGCACUCUGCAACUCGAGUGCAUGAAGCUGGAAUUACUAGUAAUCGUGGAUCAGCGUGCCACGGUGAAUGCGUUCCCGGGUCUUGUACACACCGCCCGUCACACCAUGGGAGUUGGUUCUACCUUAAGGCAAGGUUUUAAACCCUUGACCACGGUAUAGUCAGCGACUGGGGUGAAGUCGUAACAAGGUAGCCGUAGGGGAACCUGCGGCUGGAUUACCUCCUUUCUAA